AUGUUGAGUCCCCCGGCGUCCCCCGUCCUGUCCGCUCCCAGCAGCACUGCAGGUGUUUACACACAUCUGUGGUGAACCACAAGAGAGAUGUGCCCAAUGGGUCCACCCUGACUUUGUAUUGCGCUUCCUGAAGAAAGGAGAAGCCCUGAUGUGCUUGUCACCCGAGCUGAUGGCCGGGGGGGCGAGAGGGAGCUCAAAUGUCUUCACUCAGUCCCUCAUCAGACACUCAAAGGAACUCUGUUUCAGCCUGAUUACGAGCCGAUUGGAUAUAAUGUUGAGCGGCGGACUCAGGAGAUGGGGAGGGAUUGGGAAACACUACAGUAGGAUUUGCAGGGAAGGAUUGUCUUUCUCCAGAUGUAGGAAAUGAGCGUCGGAGGGUUCCUGGUGCCAGGCGGCUCUCUUCUCUUGUUACAACACGGGACCAAAUUCAAACCAUGUGUCCUCGCACCCAGUUAGCUGCUUUUGCCCACCUCGAGCAUUAUCAGUCUGAACGGAUCUGUUUCACUGGCCCUCUCCAGUGCAGUGUUCUCGUUCUUCCAGCCCCAGACGAGCCUCUCCGUGGGAAUCCUGGAUUAAUAGGCUGGAAAUUUCGCAUGUCCGGUCUCCGAAGGUGUCUGUUAUCCUCCGAGGACCCCGUGCAAGCUUCAAGCUCAUAUUAUGGGAAGCUGGACGAGGUGGAUAGCAGGAUGUCAGAUGUGAUUCUUCACACAGAUUUUCAAGGUGAGUAUUGUUUGAUCAGGUUUCAGGGUUCUUUCUGUGUGAACACAGUGUGCUCCUCCAAACUCAGUCAGAAGAGACCAGCUCUUGCUAGCCACACUAAUGUCAUUUUGUUGUGA
rnacentral:lncRNA from 1 species